AAUGAACGUUGGCGGCAUGGAUUAGGCAUGCAAGUCGAGCGAGAAAGGUUUUGAAGCUUGCUUUAGAACCUGGACAGCGGCGAAAGGGAGAGUAACGCGUAGUUAUGUGCCCAGGGGUUCGGAAUAGCCACGGGAAACUGUGGGUAAUGCCGAAUAACAUCUCCGGAUCAAAGGUGUGAUUCCGCCCUUGGAGCAGACUGCGUCCUACUAGCUAGUUGGUGGGGUAAUGGCCCACCAAGGCGACGAUGGGUAGCGGGUGUGAGAGCAUGACCCGUCUCACUGGGACUGAGACACUGCCCAGACACCUACGGGUGGCUGCAGUCGAGAAUCUUCGGCAAUGAGCGCAAGCUUGACCGAGCGAUGCCGCGUGCGGGAUGAAGGCCCUCGGGUUGUAAACCGCUGUCGUAGGGGAGGAAGGCUCCGUGAAGAGCGGGGUUUGACCUAUCCUAGGAGGAAGUACGGGCUAAGUACGUGCCAGCAGCCGCCGUAAUAC
rnacentral:rRNA from 1 species